AUGUAUCCACAGAUGGUUUUGAAGUGAAGAAGCAGAAAGCUGGUGAACAACCUAACACACCCACAGGCAAAAAGCCCCGCCUCGGCAACCCUGACUACACAUGAUCUGAAGAAACCAUGAAAUGUGCAUCGCCAAGCCAGACACAAGAUUGCUCUUUCCUCAACUCGUUUCGACCUAGAGCUCCGUCAGUUUCAAUGGAUUCCCGAACAAUAUUUGCUUUAUGUGUAACAAGGAUGAUGAAAUGUAGUCGGGUGAAAGGUUUGGCUUCCAUUUAAUAUAACAAUGUAGGGCUGA